UCAAGAAUUACAACGCACUCUCCCUUAAAAAUACAGUUAGCCAAAUGAAUGACCCUCAUUUAAUAACUUCAAUAAAAUCAGAGGGCACCAUAAACACAAUUUUCCAAAAAGAAAAUAUUGUUCAAAAUCCUUGAACCUCCCAACUUCACUCAGGUGGAUCUACACACCAACCAUUGUUUCUCACCACAACCUCGGCGAAAUUCGGCAGCUCCUCCACUCAAUAUUUGUUCUCGUUAUAAUCGAAGCCCCACAAGGUUGUUGUUCCUACUGCAAAAUUUGAACCCACAAGCACCAAAACGACUCGUAGCUUGCUUCCCAUCAAUACAAGUGCUGAUAACUGAUUAGUACGUUUGGGUAUCUAUGAGUCUCCUAAUAAUCGUGCGUGCAUCUCCUUCAAUCUUCACCAAUUGGAAACCUAUGUCUUCAGCAAAUUAAAUGGCCGAGACGCAAGCGAGGGCUUCAAUUGAAAAAGCUUCAGGUGUGCUCUUGCUCAUCAUUACUGUCGGUCCUAAUAUUAAGUCAUCACUAUUUCAGAUAACAAUAGUUGAUCUUGAUUGUUCUAAUUUGCCUUUAAACCCCGCACCAAAGUUUACUUAACAAAUGAGGUUGAGGAGAGAGACUGACACCCAUGCAACUGACAAGAUUGGGAAGGUAUGUUACCAUCUAGCAUUUUUAAUUCCUCUGCUAAAGAUUUUAUUCUGCUUAAAACAUUAGUAAUAAUAAUUCGUUAAUUCUCAUGAAUCAAUUUGUUACAAAAAUACCAUAUGCUCUCAAUUACCACAAUCAUACAACUGACUUCAUAAUAAGCAUUAUUAAAAACAUGAACCAUCAAAUCCUAAAAUUAUCUGAAUUGUUCGAUGUAGGCCAAGAAAUUUCUAAUAGUUGACAUACCUACAAGAUGGGCAAAUUAGUGAAACUACAAUCCUCUUAUUGUACAAGUUCUCAAAAAAAAAAAUUGUUAGAAACUUGUACUCGCCAUAAUUUUUUGUAAAAGAACUUGUAUUCAGUUGCAUAAUUAGGGGCCAUAGAGCUGCCAAGUAAAAGCUUAUAACCACUAUGUAGAAUAUAUUCAUCAAUAUUUCUAACCUUCCAAAUCAACAUACCCUUUUAAACUAAGUAAAACACUCAUUAUCCUCUCCGCUACAAUGUUACUAAACAAAUGAUUGAUGAGAUAAGCUUUCCAAAUCUUAUUUUCAUGAUCAAUAAAAGCAGAUACCAUAGAAACAUUACCACUAACUUCAGUAUCUCGUAUUUUGCAAACAAUCGAUCCUAAAGGCCAAUUGUCCGUCCAAAUGAAAAUAUUUUGCCACAAUCCUACCUUCCAACGGAGCCCCGAUUCCAACAAACAAGUCAUGGAAAUCAACAAUAUAUAUGUAACUUACACGCAUUAUAUAUAUAUAUAUAUACAUCUUAUCUUAAAUAUAAAUGCAUAACGGUUGUAGUAGCUAAGGCUGCCGCGAGUAAAAAUGGCUUGUCAUUGACAUGAAUAUAACUUGGUGGCGUGUAUUUGGAUAAUUUUCAAUGAGGUGUUC
rnacentral:lncRNA from 1 species